rnacentral:rRNA from 1 species
GCAAGUCGAGCGGUAACAGAGAGAAAGUUGUUUUCUUUGCUGACGAGCGGCGGACGGGUGAGUAACGCGUAGGAAUCUGCCUAGUAGUGGGGGACAACAUGUGGAAACGCAUGCUAAUACCGCAUACGCCCUACGGGGGAAAGGAGGGGAUCUUCGGACCUUUCGCUAUUAGAUGAGCCUGCGUAAGAUUAGCUAGUUGGUGGGGUAAAGGCUCACCAAGGCGACGAUCUUUAGCUGGUCUGAGAGGAUGAUC